AAUGGGGGAAACCCUGAUGCAGCGACGCCGCGUGGAGGAAGAAGGUUUUCGGAUUGUAAACUCCUGUCGUUAGGGACGAUAAUGACGGUACCUAACAAGAAAGCACCGGCUAACUACGUGCCAGCAGCCGCGGUAAAACGUAGGGUGCAAGCGUUGUCCGGAAUUACUGGGUGUAAAGGGAGCGCAGGCGGACCGGCAAGUUGGAAGUGAAAACUAUGGGCUCAACCCAUAAAUUGCUUUCAAAACUGCUGGCCUUGAGUAGUGCAGAGGUAGGUGGAAUUCCCGGUGUAGCGGUGGAAUGCGUAGAUAUCGGGAGGAACACCAGUGGCGAAGGCGACCUACUGGGCACCAACUGACGCUGAGGCUCGAAAGCAUGGGUAGCAAA
rnacentral:rRNA from 1 species